rnacentral:rRNA from 1 species
UGCUGGAGKUAUCAGAAGUGCGAAUGCUGACAUAAGUAACGAUAAAGCGGGUGAAAAGCCCGCUCGCCGGAAGACCAAGGGUUCCUGUCCAACGUUAAUCGGGGCAGGGUGAGUCGACCCCUAAGGCGAGGCCGAAAGGCGUAGUCGAUGGGAAACAGGUUAAUAUUCCUGUACUUGGUGUUACUGCGAAGGGGGGACGGAGAAGGCUAUGUCAGCCGGGCGACGGUUGUCCCGGUUUAAGCAUGUAGGCGGAGGUUCCAGGUAAAUCCGGUACCUURUUAACGCUGAGGUGUGAUGACGAGGCACUACGGUGCUGAAGUGAUAAAUGCCCUGCUUCCAGGAAAAGCCUCUAAGCAUCAGGUAACACGAAAUCGUACCCCAAACCGACACAGGUGGUCAGGUAGAGAAUACCAAGGCGCUUGAGAGAACUCGGGUGAAGGAACUAGGCAAAAUGGUGCCGUAACUUCGGGAGAAGGCACGCUGAUAKGUAGGUGAAGUCCCUGCGGACGGAGCUGAAAUCAGUCGAAGAUACCAGCUGGCUGCAACUGUUUAUUAAAAACACAGCACUGUGCAAACACGAAAGUGGACGUAUACGGUGUGACGCCUGCCCGGUGCCGGAAGGUUAAUUGAUGGGGUYAGCGGCAACGCGAAGCUCUUGAUCGAAGCCCCGGUAAACGGCGGCCGUAACUAUAACGGUCCUAAGGUAGCGAAAUUCCUUGUCGGGUAAGUUCCGACCUGCACGAAUGGCGUAAUGAUGGCCAGGCUGUCUCCACCCGAGACUCAGUGAAAUUGAACUCGCUGUGAAGAUGCAGUGUACCCGCGGCAAGACGGAAAGACCCCGUGAACCUUUACUAUAGCUUGACACUGAACACUGGUCCUUGAUGUGUAGGAUAGGUGGGAGGCUUUGAAGCGUGGACGCCAGUCUGCGUGGAGCCAACCUUGAAAUACCACCCUUUAAUGGCUGGUGUUCUAACGUAGACCCGUAAUCCGGGUUGCGGACAGUGUCUGGUGGGUAGUUUGACUGGGGCGGUCUCCUCCCAAAGAGUAACGGAGGAGCACGAAGGUUGGCUAAUCCUGGUCGGACAUCAGGAGGUUAGUGCAAUGGCAUAAGCCAGCUUGACUGCGAGCGUGACGGCGCGAGCAGGUGCGAAAGCAGGUCAUAGUGAUCCGGUGGUUCUGAAUGGAAGGGCCAUCGCUCAACGGAUAAAAGGUACUCCGGGGAUAACAGGCUGAUACCGCCCAAGAGUUCAUAUCGACGGCGGUGUUUGGCACCUCGAUGUCGGCUCAUCACAUCCUGGGGCUGAAGUAGGUCCCAAGGGUAUGGCUGUUCGCCAUUUAAAGUGGUACGCGAGCUGGGUUUAGAACGUCGUGAGACAGUUCGGUCCCUAUCUGCCGUGGGCGCUGGAGAAUUGAGGGGGGCUGCUCCUAGUACGAGAGGACCGGAGUGGACGCAUCACUGGUGUUCGGGUUGUCAUGCCAAUGGCACUGCCCGGUAGCUAAAUGCGGAAGAGAUAAGUGCUGAAAGCAUCUAAGCACGAAACUUGCCCCGAGAUGAGUUCUCCCUGAGACUUUAAGUCUCCUGAAGGAACGUUGAAGAC